rnacentral:rRNA from 1 species
GNAAUUAUUGGGCGUAAAGAGCUUGUAGGCGGUUGGUCGCNUCUGCUGUGAAAGGCUGGGGCUUAACCCUGGUUUUGCAGUGGGUACGGGCUAACUAGAGUGCAGUAGGGGAGACUGGAAUUCCUGGUGUAGCGGUGGAAUGCGCAGAUAUCAGGAGGAACACCGAUGGCGAAGGCAGGUCUCUGGGCUGUAACUGACGCUGAGAAGCGAAAGCAUGGGGAGCGAACAGGAUUAGAUACCCUGGUAGUCCAUGCCGUAAACGUUGGGCACUAGGUGUGGGGGACAUUCCACGUUUUCCGCGCCGUAGCUAACGCAUUAAGUGCCCCGCCUGGGGAGUACGGCCGCAAGGCUAAAACUCAAAGAAAUUGACGGGGGCCCGUACAAGCGGCGGAGCAUGCGGAUUAAUUCGAUGCAACGCGAAGAACCUUACCAAGGCCUGACAUAUACUGGACUGCGUCAGAGAUGGCGUUUCCCUUCGGGGCUGGUAUACAGGUGGUGCAUGGUUGUCGUCAGCUCGUGUCGUGAGAUGUUGGGUUGAGUCCCGCAACGAGCGCAACCCUCGUUCUAUGUUGCCAGCACGUGAUGGUGGGGACUCAUAGGAGACUGCCGGGGUCAACUCGGAGGAAGGUGGGGAUGACGUCAAAUCAUCAUGCCCCUUAUGUCUUGGGCUUCACGCAUGCUACAAUGGCCGGUACAGAGGGUUGCGAUACUGUGAGGUGGAGCUAAUCCCUAAAAGCCGGUCUCAGUUCGGAUUGGGGUCUGCAACUCGACCCCAUGAAGUCGGAGUCGCUAGUAAUCGCAGAUCAGCAACGCUGCGGUGAAUACGUUCCCGGGCCUUGUACACACCGCCCGUCAAGUCACGAAAGUUGGUAACACCCGAAGCCGGUGGCCUAACCCUGGUGGGGGGAGCCGUCGAAGGUGGGACUGGCGAU